rnacentral:misc_RNA from 1 species
GAAAUGCGAUACUUCUUGUUCCUUUCCUCCUUCCUUUCCCCCUCGCCUCUUUUCCCUCCUCUUUCUCUCUCUCCCUCUUUCCCUCUCCUUUCUUCCUCCUCUUCUUUUUCUCCCCUCCUCCCUCCCCUUUAGUUGGUCGGUUAACUCAAUGUCAGUUAGCCAUAGGGGUGGAUCUGGCCUCCCCAAUUGGUUUGAUUACGAAUUGGGUUGGUUGAAGCACAGAGGCUUAAACAAGGACCCAAUAUGGGCUUCAACUGGAUAGGUAGUUACGGCUUCUGCCGCCUACACGAAGUUGUAGCUUGUGGACUUUGUUAGGGGCCAAGCAGGAAACAUGCUUGAUUGCAUGCCUAAACUUUCGACCUGAGCUCAGGCAAGGCUACCCGCUGAACUUAAGC